rnacentral:rRNA from 1 species
AACGAACGCUGGCGGCAUGCCUAACACAUGCAAGUCGAACGCGUGUAGCAAUACACGAGUGGCGGACGGGUGAGUAACGCGUGGGAACCUGCCCAGUGGUAGGGAAUAACUGCGGGAAACUGCAGCUAAUACCCUAUACGCCCUUUGGGGGAAAGAUUCAUCGCCAUUGGAGGGGCCCGCGUCGGAUUAGCUAGUUGGCGGGGUAAUGGCCCACCAAGGCAACGAUCCGUAGCUGGCCNGAGAGGAUGAUCAGCCACACUGGGACUGAGAUACGGCCCAGACUCCUACGGGAGGCAGCAGUGGGGAAUAUUGGACAAUGGGGGAAACCCUGAUCCAGCAAUGCCGCGUGAGUGAAGAA